CGGACGGGUGAGUAACACGUGGAUAACCUACCUAUAAGACUGGGAUAACUUCGGGAAACCGGAGCUAAUACCGGAUAAUAUUUUGAACCGCAUGGUUCAAAAGUGAAAGACGGUCUUGCUGUCACUUAUAGAUGGAUCCGCGCUGCAUUAGCUAGUUGGUAAGGUAACGGCUUACCAAGGCAACGAUGCAUAGCCUACCUGAGAGGGUGAUCGGCCACACUGGAACUGAGACACGGUCCAG
rnacentral:rRNA from 1 species